rnacentral:lncRNA from 1 species
AGUCGGUGCAAGCCCCGGGAUUGCCUGAGGCAAGCCAAAGGAGCCCCAGAUGGAGACGGGACUGCCGGUCGUCGGGUGUCCUGGAAGCCGAAUGCGAAUGCGGAGGGGCUCGCGGGCCGCGCGGAGGCAACCCAGACCUGCCACAACAUUACCAGAAGAUAAAGUGUUUACGCUCUUCUACACAAUUAUUGUCCCCAUGCUCAACCCGCUUAUCUACACACUUAGAAACAUGGAGAUGAAAAAUUCCAUAAGAAGAGUUUGGUGCAAUAAAAGGUUCUGGGAAGGGAACUUAAUGAUCUGAAGGUCAUUCGUCUGACGCCAGUGACUGUCUUCUCAUCACUCCCUCUGUUGCUGAUUCUCUCCUGCUAAUGGGAAAAUCAGUCAGAAUGUGUAAAAGCCAAGCCUCCAACAACAGCUUGCCUUCAGUGAUUCCUUCUUUAUUUUCCUCUCAAUGUGUUUUCCUUGAUUUCACUUUUCACUAAUAAUCCCCUUUGUUUAAAAAAAAAAAAGAAAAGAAAAGAAAAGAAAACUUUUUACAGAGUAAAAACACAGUGAAAAGUCUGGAGGGAGAGUGAUCCUGCCUGUAUUGAAGGCUAAACCUGGGGGAGACUUCGCUCUCAAAAUACUUGGCCUCAAGGUAUAAAAGGUAAUAAUAUGUUAAAAGGUAAAAGACAGUUGAAGAAUCCACCUGCUAAUGCAGGAGACACAGGUUCAAUCCUUGGGCUAGGAAGAUCCUCUGGAGAAGGAAAUGGCUACCCACUCCAGUGUUUUUGCCUGGGAAAUCCCAUGGAGAGAGGAAUCUGGUGGGCUACAGCCCAUGGGGAUGCAAAACAGCUGGACAUGAUUCAGCGACUAAACAAAAACAAAAAGGCAGUUAUAGGAAAAUAAGAACAAUCACAUACUGCAAACUCCUUUCUGAGCUAUAUACCUAGCCUCGUAUCCUACAACUCUAGAUUUCUUUUAAUCAAGUACCUAGAGAUCUUUUUGUGUGUAUUUGUGAACUGUGAUUAUUUUACUUAAGUGAAAUGAAUAUGUAGAUCUAAAUACAACAUAGUGUAAAGUCCAGCCUUAUAGUCUACAUGGCAAGUCUUACAGUCUGAAAAGCAAGUCACUGUGUGAUCUGUUUGUGAAGUAACAUUGUAAGUAUUGGGGAAAAUAUAUACAAACUCUUGCUAUUUUAACUGGGUUUGAUAUUAAGUAUACAUGAUCAAGGAAUAAAUAAACUACCACUGACUUUGCUACA